GCCGAAUUUCUUUGUGCUAAGGUAGCAUAAUAAUUAGCUUUUUAAUUAAAAGAUAGAAUGAAAGGACAAACGUCUUAACAAUUUUUCCUAAUUUAUAUAAUAAAAUUAACUAAAAAGUAAAAAAACUUUUAUACGACAGAAGGACAAUAAGACCCUAUAGAACUUUAAUUAUUAUUUUUACUGGGGCAGUAAGAAAUCAUAUCUUUUAAAUAAAUACUUAUAAAGACCUAAUAUAAUUAAUUAUUAAAACAAGCUACCUUAGGGAUAACAGCGUUAUAAUACUUUACAGCUCCUAUUUAAAGUAAAUUUUACGACCUCGAUGUUGAAUUAAUUUAACUUCAUUAAGCAAAACCAAUCAAAGUAAGUCUGUUCGACUUUUAAAAAAUUACAUGAUUUGAGUUCAGACCGGUGUAAACCAGGUCAGAUUAUAUCCUCUUUAACAAAUUAACAGUACGAAAGGACCUUAAUAUUAAUA
rnacentral:rRNA from 1 species